CUCGAGGCCAGAUCUUUCCGGUUGAUCCUGCCGGACCCGACUGCUAUCGGAUUGGGACUAAGCCAUGCGAGUCAACCCGCAAGGGUGGCGCACGGCUCAGUAACACGUAGUCAACCUACCCUGAGGACGAGGAUAACCUCGGGAAACUGGGGAUAAACCUCGAUAGGUCAUAGCUCCUGGAAUGGGCUAUGGCUCAAAUCUAUAUGGCCUCAGGAUGAGACUGCGUCCGAUCAGGUUGUUGGUGGGGUAAUGGCCCACCAAGCCUAUAACCGGUACGGGCUCUGAGAGGAGGAGCCCGGAGAUGGGCACUGAGACAAGGGCCCAGGUCCUAUGGGGCGCAGCAGGCGCGAAACCUCCGCAAUGGGCGAAAGCCCGACGGGGUCAGUCCGAGUGGCUCCCGCUAAGGGAGUCUUUUGCCAGCUGUAAACAGGCUGGUGAAUAAGGGGUGGGCAAGCCUGGUGUCAGCUGCCGCGGUAAUACCAGCACCCCGAGUGGUCGGGAUGAUUAUUGGGCCUAAAGCAUCCGUAGCCGGUGUAACAAGUCCUCCGUUAAA
rnacentral:rRNA from 1 species